UCUACUGCUUCAGUCUCCCACUGCUGAGGCUUUUCUAUUUUAGUUGUUAAGGUCACAUGACCUUCUUAGCCAAUUACAGAAACAGAGAAGCCAUGGAAACUUCUUUCUGGGAUAAAAAAAAAUAUCAUAAUUGGGCUGAGGAAGAACGGGAUAAACCAAACAACAGGAAGAACUGA
rnacentral:lncRNA from 1 species